UUUUUUUUUUUUUUUUUUUUUUCUUCAUCAUCUCACCUCGAGAUUCUGAAAAAUGAGGAAGUAU
rnacentral:ribozyme from 13 species